UUUAAUUUGAAAAUUUGGACAUUUGCCCUUAUCUAAUCUUGAAGUGUCUUUAUUACUCUCGACAAUUUUUCAAAGAUUAUUAAUAGUUGCUCAACAAUUACUUCUGCCAGGACUUUUGGAACCUAAGGACAAAUCAUCUGGGCCAGAUAGCUUGAAGCCAUCAAGGGAAAUGAGGUACUCUCUACUCUGUCCCCAUCCUAAUUGGGUAUUACUUGCUGCUACCUAUUUUUGUUCCAUUUUUUCCAGUGUGAUAUUCUCUUGGCCAAAAGAACAUAAGAUUCUUUGUAUCUGAAGUCAAAAGAAGAUUGUGACAAGGCUUGAAAUAGCUUAAGUGCUUCACAAAAAGGUGUAGAAUUCUUUUUUAAAAUUGCCUUUGCUAUAGAAAGAAUGUGUAGAUACUGAACUCAUUACAAAGGAAAACACUACUUAGGUAACUUCAGAAAACCAAACUUCAAAUCUAGUAUUUGCCAAAACUUGAUUAUCUGUCACAAAUUAGUUUAAGUGGAGGAGAUUCAUGCUACCAUUUAUUUUACACUAAUAGGUAUUUUAUGUAAUGUUUACUGUUAUAUUGUUUUUCCACGGCCAAAACUUCUACCAACUAUCUCUUCUUUUUCCUCUUCCCAGAGGUCUGUCUAUCCUAUAUAACAAAUAUUUUUAAUGCCAAAAAAGGGGAAAAGCAGUAAAAGAUCAAUACAUGAAGAAAUAUAAAAACAUAUUAUGUUCACCUGUGCACCUCUCACUUCUGCAAAAGAAUAGGUUAGAAGUAUCUUCUCACAUCUCUCCUUUGGGACCAAUUAAUAAACUUUAAUGAACUGUUCUCAUACAACCUUUGCAGAUUUAAUACUUCUGCUUCGAACUAAUGUUAGAUGGGGGGGGGGGGAAAUUAUGUAAAGAAAAAAAUUACUUCACUCAAAACUGUAGGAAGUAGGGACAGAGAGGGAAAAAAUAUCCAAGUCAACACAAUAGAAAUAAUUUUGAGGUUUUUGCAGAAUGUAUUAACACUACUUUCUUCCAUUGAUUAAUAGUUGUUUGUAGAGCUAACCUAAAUCUUUAUUUCUCUCAAGGUUUUAAUCAAUUUUAUAUUUGAGAGACCUUUGCUGUAUUUAACUUUAUUAUUGACUUUCAACAAACAUAGAAAAAAAAAUCCACCUCCUAAAGCAUGACCUAGAAAUUACUAGAUUAGGCUGGUCUUUUGAUACCUACCUCAUGGUUUUCAGAUAUUACUUUUUGGUGUUCCAUUGCUGUCAUAUGAUCUGUGAGCAGUCUAUUCUCCUUCUCUAGGGCUUGUAAGGUAUUGGUUAGGGCACUCAUUUCCUGCUUUAGAACAAAAGGGGGGGAAAAGUCAUUCCAGAACUAAGAACACUAUAUCCUUUUUCUAAUUCCAAGUCUAAGUGAAAAUGUAAGUCAUUUAAUGUACUUGCUCACUUAUCCCUAAUGCUGAAGGUCUGAGUAGCCAAUCUGGAGAGAUAACAAAGUGUAUUAAAUAGUAAGCACUUAACAUACAUUUGCUUAAGCUAAAUUUAAUUAUAAUUGUAGCAUAUAUCCAAAUUAUAGAAUGUAAUGAAUAGAAUUACAGAAAAUCUGGCUAGAGUAUAACCUGUCAGAGUUCAUUUAUCUUGGAUUAUUUUGUCAUGCAAAUUAAGGACAGAACUCCUUGAAUGGCAUAAAGCGAUAUGGCUAUGUGUUAGAAUAUGAUCUAUUGAUACUUUCAACAACAGUAUAGGAAAAUAUGAAUAGAUGAACAGAAAUUCAGUUAGGGUUAAAGUCUCAUGUGGCCCCCUUUGGCCCCACAGCAGCUUAUCAAGUGGUAACCAGGAGAAGGAGUAGGAUAUGCCCUUUAGCUAAAGGGAGAGACAUAGGCUCAGGUUUAUGUAGGGUUUUCAGACAAGUGACAGGUGGACUAAAUAGGGUCAGGGAAAAUGGACAAGAAUAAAAAAGUUUUUUAAAAAGCUAAUUUCUAAAAAAUUAACCAAGAAGACCUACUUGGGAUAAAGAAGGUACAACUAUAACUAUUUUGCAUCAAUAAACUUGCCAGAGUGUUUCAACAGUCAGUUCUAAUUAGAACUUCAUGCAAUUUAAACCUUAAGCAUAACAGAGUUACAUGACAGAAGGAAAGUCUAUGAGAGCAGGGCCACAGUCUCCUCUGGCUAUUCAGUUUUCAGAAUGGAUCAAGGACAAUUUAAUGAAUGUCUUGUGUAGCAAGCAGGUAAUCAAUAAAUCCCUUUUGACUGAAUGAAAAUUGGCCAGGGUAAAGUUCUCUGAAAAUGUGCUAUGUUGUUCAAACUAAAGUUUUUAGCUUAACCUCUGUUAAGCAACCCCAAAGGCACAACCACACUUUCAUGUAGAGUGUAUUCUCCGAGGCAGUCUUUGAUACUACUACAUCUACCAUUUAACAUUCUGUGUUGUAAUAUCAAAAAGGAUUUACAGUGUUUAGAAAACAGUUCCUAUUUAAUAACAGUCACUAUCUUAUAUUUUGAUAGCUUAACUGGGAUUGUAUAGAGGUUGGCAAAAUUUUGUCACAAGUUUCUGAGGCAGGGCCUUCGAUCUUAAAUUAGAUAUUUGAAAAGUGAGAUAACCAUGUUGGACAGAGGCAAAAUAUGUUGAUCUAAAUUUAAUCAACUUGGAGGGAUCAUUUCAUACUCACACACAAAAAUGUAACUAAAAGUGACAAAAUUCAGGCAUGUCAGGAUUGUGUAAAAAUGGAGAUUUGAACCCCAGACUUCAAUUUCCAGAAGUCCUUGGUAGUUUCCAGAAUUCCCUAAAAUCUCACCAGAGUUCUCAACUGGGCUGAGAACAAAAUGGGUAUUUAAACUGACUGUACCGCCUACUCGGUCGCUCUGCUUCCGCUUCUAGCACACACGUCUCUCUACCUUGCAGGUAGGAUGUUGUGAGUAGGUUGCACAUGCUUUUCUUAUUCUGUCCUUUUUAAAUUCUAAUAAUCUUUAAUAAACCUCAUAAAAUAUAAUACUUUUAGCAGAGAAACUAAUUUUAAUUUUAAAAGUUUGGCGAUCAAAAGGGAUAAAAACUCUCAAUUAAAAAAAAAAAGAUAGCCUAGAUAAUGAUUUCUAAGCCACAUUUCUCCAAGGCUUUUUAGCAAGCCUCUUGACUCAUCUCGCUCCUGCCUGCAAUCCAGACCCAGAUUGUUCUCACCUGGUCCUGGUCCCGGCCCUGCCCACCCCUGUCGCAGCUCCCGGCUCCUGCUCCUGGUCUCUCUCUCUCUCACCUGGCCCAGCUGAUCCCAACCCGCCUGCAACUCUGGCCUCAGAACAGAUCACUCAUCACACCAGGCCCCAGACUCACUUCCACUGGCUGUACUCACAGUGGAUCAUGGCCAGAUAUGAAGAGGAAACGGAUCUCAUUUUUGAUUUUUAGGUUAAGAAACAUGCUACCCCUCCGAGUCUAGAAACUGAACUGUUUGGAGAAGACACCAUGAAGAUGCCUCCAGACCACAAGCUGCACGAGAAGAUCAAGAAUGAACUUUGGGUGUGGUUGAUUGAACAUUUAUUUGUAUGUAUACUUUCAUGCCAAAGGGGACUGCCCCCUAACUGGUUUUUUGUCAAUGUGUUUAGCAAUUAUUGGCUUUGUUCUUUUUUCCUCUUCUCAAAAUAUUGUAAUUUUUAAGUUGA